rnacentral:rRNA from 1 species
GAGCUUGCUCCCUGAUGUUAGCGGCGGACGGGUGAGUAACACGUGGGUAACCUGCCUGUAAGACUGGGAUAACUCCGGGAAACCGGGGCUAAUACCGGAUGGUUGUUUGAACCGCAUGGUUCAAACAUAAAAGGUGGCUUCGGCUACCACUUACAGAUGGACCCGCGGCGCAUUAGCUAGUUGGUGAGGUAACGGCUCACCAAGGCAACGAUGCGUAGCCGACCUGAGAGGGUGAUCGGCCACACUGGGACUGAGACACGGCCCAGACUCCUACGGGAGGCAGCAGUAGGGAAUCUUCCGCAAUGGACGAAAGUCUGACGGAGCAACGCCGCGUGAGUGAUGAAGGUUUUCGGAUCGUAAAGCUCUGUUGUUAGGGAAGAACAAGUACCGUUCGAAUAGGGCGGUACCUUGACGGUACCUAACCAGAAAGCCACGGCUAACUACGUGCCAGCAGCCGCGGUAAUACGUAGGUGGCAAGCGUUGUCCGGAAUUAUUGGGCGUAAAGGGCUCGCAGGCGGUUUCUUAAGUCUGAUGUGAAAGCCCCCGGCUCAACCGGGGAGGGUCAUUGGAAACUGGGGAACUUGAGUGCAGAAGAGGAGAGUGGAAUUCCACGUGUAGCGGUGAAAUGCGUAGAGAUGUGGAGGAACACCAGUGGCGAAGGCGACUCUCUGGUCUGUAACUGACGCUGAGGAGCGAAAGCGUGGGGAGCGAACAGGAUUAGAUACCCUG